AUGUAGAGGUGAUGAGCUUCUUGUUACCGCCCCAGUCUGAAAAUUCAUGACUGAUUGGUAUAUUCUCUGAUCACAA